rnacentral:rRNA from 1 species
CCUACGGGUGGCUGCAGUGGGGAAUAUUGGACAAUGGGGGGAACCCUGAUCCAGCCAUGCCGCGUGUGUGAAGAAGGCCCUCGGGUUGUAAAGCACUUUCAGUGAGGAAGAACGCCUGGUGGUUAAUACCCAUCAGGAAAGACAUCACUCACAGAAGAAGCACCGGCUAACUCCGUGCCAGCAGCCGCGGUAAUACGGAGGGUGCGAGCGUUAAUCGGAAUUACUGGGCGUAAAGCGCGCGUAGGUGGCUUGAUAAGCCGGUUGUGAAAGCCCCGGGCUCAACCUGGGAACGGCAUCCGGAACUGUCAAGCUAGAGUGCAGGAGAGGAAGGUAGAAUUCCCGGUGUAGCGGUGAAAUGCGUAGAGAUCGGGAGGAAUACCAGUGGCGAAGGCGGCCUUCUGGGCUGACACUGACACUGAGGUGCGAAAGCGUGGGUAGCAAACAGGAUUAGAUACCCCAGUAGUC